rnacentral:tRNA from 2 species
GCCCUUGUAGCUCAGUGGAUAGAGCGACUGCCUCCUAAGCAGUAGGUCGCAGGUUCGAAUCCUGCCGAGGGCG